rnacentral:rRNA from 1 species
UACCAGCACCCCGAGUGGUCGGGACGUUUAUUGGGCCUAAAGUAUCCGUAGCCGGUUCUACAAGUCUUCCGUUAAAUCCAGCUGCUUAACAGAUGGGCUGCGGAAGAUACUAUGGAGCUAGGAGGCGGGAGAGGCAAGCGGUACUCGAUGGGUAGGGGUAAAAUCCGUUGAUCCAUUGAAGACCACCAGUGGCGAAGGCGGCUUGCCAGAACGCGCUCGACGGUGAGGGGUGAAAGCUGGGGGAGCAAACCGG